CAAAUUUAGGUUGGGAUGAACUUGCUUCAUGGACCUCAUGUUGACCCUUUGGGUUAGAUUGAGGUUGGGCUGGAAAUGUCCCUUUUUUCCCUAACAUUGAGUUGAGCCUCAAUUCUACCUACAGAAUUUUUAAGUUCUUGGAGUGAUUGCAUUGUAUUCUGAUUUAUUUGAGUCUGCCCUUGCAUGAAGUUUGCAAAGUAUCUUCAAGGGAUUUCCUAUGUGGUGGCACAUAAGGAGUAGGAACAGAAUUUUCUUGAGAUUCAUUGGCAGUGGGUCCAUGUCUCCAGCUAAAGUUAGGAUGGUUUUCGCCAAUUAGGAUUAUAUGUUUCUGGAAAUGGUCUUUUAUAAGUAUUGGUGAAAUUUGCUUGAUCAUGCAACACUUCUUGAAAAGCAGGGAUUGUAGGACAAUCCUUGGUUACAUGUGCAUUACUCUCGCAAAUUCCACAUAUACUUUCAACAAUAGUUUGUGCUUUUCCUAUAUUGGCUUUGCUUAAUUCCAUGGCUUCUACCUUCCUAGUCAGAUUAGCAAUUUUUACAUUGACAUCAUUAUCAUCUUUAAUAAGAUAUAUUCCUCCUUUUGCAUUAGGUGCUAUUUUUGAUUUGUCAUUUUUAUCUGUUGUAUCCCAAGCUUGUGCAUUUUCUGCUAAAAGAUCAAAAUAAUCCCAAGCUUCAUUUGGUUCCUUACUCA
rnacentral:lncRNA from 1 species